AGAGUUUGAUCCUGGCUCAGGACGAACGCUGGCGGCGCGCCUAACACAUGCAAGUCGAACGGAGCUGAGAGGAGCUUGCUUUUCUUAGCUUAGUGGCGAACGGGUGAGUAACGCGUGAGUAACCUGCCCUGGAGUGGGGGACAACAGUUGGAAACGACUGCUAAUACCGCAUAAGCCCACGGCCCGGCAUCGGGCUGCGGGAAAAGGAUUUAUUCGCUUCAGGAUGGACUCGCGUCCAAUUAGCUAGUUGGUGAGGUAACGGCCCACCAAGGCGACGAUUGGUAGCCGGACUGAGAGGUUGAACGGCCACAUUGGGACUGAGACACGGCCCAGACUCCUACGGGAGGCAGCAGUGGGGGAUAUUGCACAAUGGGGGAAACCCUGAUGCAGCGACGCCGCGUGGAGGAAGAAGGUCUUCGGAUUGUAAACUCCUGUCGCAGGGGACGAUAAUGACGGUACCCUGGGAGGAAGCACCGGCUAACUACGUGCCAGCAGCCGCGGUAAAACGUAGGGUGCAAGCGUUGUCCGGAAUUACUGGGUGUAAAGGGAGCGCAGGCGGACCGGCAAGUUGGAAGUGAAAACUAUGGGCUCAACCCAUAAAUUGCUUUCAAAACUGCUGGCCUUGAGUAGUGCAGAGGUAGGUGGAAUUCCCGGUGUAGCGGUGGAAUGCGUAGAUAUCGGGAGGAACACCAGUGGCGAAGGCGGCCUACUGGGCACUAACUGACGCUGAGGCUCGAAAGCAUGGGUAGCAAACAGGAUUAGAUACCCUGGUAGUCCAUGCCGUAAACGAUGAUUACUAGGUGUUGGAGGAUUGACCCCUUCAGUGCCGCAGUUAACACAAUAAGUAAUCCACCUGGGGAGUACGACCGCAAGGUUGAAACUCAAAGGAAUUGACGGGGGCCCGCACAAGCAGUGGAGUAUGUGGUUUAA
rnacentral:rRNA from 1 species